rnacentral:rRNA from 1 species
GUGGGGAAUCUUGCGCAAUGGGCGAAAGCCUUACGCAGCCAUGCCGCGUGAAUGAUGAAGGUCUUAGGAUUGUAAAAUUCUUUCACCGGGGACGAUAAUGACGGUACCCGGAGAAGAAGCCCCGGCUAACUUCGUGCCAGCAGCCGCGGUAAUACGAAGGGGGCUAGCGUUGCUCGGAAUUACUGGGCGUAAAGGGCGCGUAGGCGGACAUUUAAGUCAGGGGUGAAAUCCCAGAGCUCAACUCUGGAACUGCCUUUGAUACUGGGUGUCUUGAGUGUGAGAGAGGUAUGUGGAACUCCGAGUGUAGAGGUGAAAUUCGUAGAUAUUCGGAAGAACACCAGUGGCGAAGGCGACAUACUGGCUCAUUACUGACGCUGAGGCGCGAAAGCGUGGGGAGCAAACAGGAUUAGAAACCCUUGUAGUCC